rnacentral:rRNA from 2 species
AAGGUUAGCUAAUCCUGGUCGGACAUCAGGAGGUUAGUGCAAUGGCAUAAGCUAGCUUGACUGCGAGCGUGACGGCGCGAGCAGGUGCGAAAGCAGGUCAUAGUGAUCCGGUGGUUCUGAAUGGAAGGGCCAUCGCUCAACGGAUAAAAGGUACUCCGGGGAUAACAGGCUGAUACCGCCCAAGAGUUCAUAUCGACGGCGGUGUUUGGCACCUCGAUGUCGGCUCAUCACAUCCUGGGGCUGAAGUAGGUCCCAAGGGUAUGGCUGUUCGCCAUUUAAAGUGGUACGCGAGCUGGGUUUAGAACGUCGUGAGACAGUUCGGUCCCUAUCUGCCGUGGGCGCUGGAGAAUUGAGGGGGGCUGCUCCUAGUACGAGAGGACCGGAGUGGACGCAUCACUGGUGUUCGGGUUGUCAUGCCAAUGGCACUGCCCGGUAGCUAAAUGCGGAAGAGAUAAGUGCUGAAAGCA